UUAAUUAAGAUGUCCCACAAGACUGUGGCCCUAAUCCUUCAAACCCAGAAAGCCAAACCUGUGAGGUGGUUGGUUAUAUCUAAGAAGUAUCUGCUAUGUGCUUUAUUAUAUAUAUGAAUAUAUGUGCAUAGGGUAACAGGCAUGCAUAUAUACACACAUAUGCAGACACCUAUAAACUAAAAAAACAACCAUUGCUGUUGAGUCGAUUCCACGUCAUAGCGACCCUACAGGACAGAGUAAAACUGUGCCAUAGGGUUUCCAAGGAGCACCUGGUGGAUUCGAACUGCUGAUCUUUUGGUUAGCAGCCGUAGCUCUUAACCACUGUGCCACCAGGGUUUCCCAUACACCUAUAUUUACCUAUACACAUAUAUGCCUACAUAUAUGCAUAUAUACUUGCACAUAUAUUUUUUAGUUGUAAUUGCCCAUAGGGUUUUCAGUGGCUGAUUUUUCAGAAGUAGAUUGCCAGGCCUUUCUUCCGAGGCACCUCUGUAUGGCUUUGAACUUCCAUUCUUUCAGUUAGCAGCCAAGUGUUAACCUUUUGUACCACCCAGGGUCUCUGUAAAACACAUACUUGAUCAUUAUUCCAGUCAAGGGACAAGAGUGUAUUUUUACACUCAGACCCCAUAAAUUAUUCAUUAAGGGAGGCUACUGUUGGCUAUAAAUUACCCUGGCACUUUGUGCCAGGCUUGUGUGUAGGCAAAGUGGGUUCCAGCAGCCUGAGGGCAGCCCUCUGAUGAAGCUGUAGGUGGUGGCUGCUGGAAGUCAAGCCAGGAUGUACAGAAGUGGGGAGAUAGGAAGGGGACUCUGGUGUAUCUGCUGUAGGAAACCAGGAGAGAGAGCUUGGAGGGCUUAGCUUAUCCCAUUGUCUAUCUGACAAGCAACCAAUUUGAAAGCCAUGGCGGCGGUGGGCUAUGUCAUGGACCAAAAGUUCUCCACAAACAGGUGGUCCAGGCUAGUGAGUAACCUGUGCAGUGAACAUUUGCCACUCUUUGGGCUGCCUACCCUCCUAAACCCUUUGUAUUUGGGGGUUUUUUACUCCAUUAAGUGAUUCUUUGUGAAAUGCUCUCACUUCAGAGGCCAAAAGUGCUGGACGUAUUUUUUCCUUGCCUCCUUGCAGGCAGGAUAUGGGCAAGUGAUCUAGCCUCAGCCAUUCAGAGACUCCUACCUAGAACUUCUAACCUGGAGGGAGUGAGGCAGGAAUGCAGACACUGUGGGGAAUUGUUCUUGACGGUGCUGUUGGAGUCUAGAAACAGGCAUCAAGGUGGCAGUCCAGCAGCUGUGGUGCAAGAAUGACCUGGCCAUCCCCCACCCCCGUCCCAGUGCCCUCCCUGCCUGGCUCCCCUGAUUUGUUCCCAUUUCCUCAUGCCCUUCCAACAAAUUCAUUUCCCGUUUCAGUUAGCAACGUUGGUUCUUUAUUGUUUCCACUUAAGAUCCUCAGAGAGUGACAAAAGUCUGAAUUCAGGUAAAGGCCUGCUCUGUGAAGAGUACUUUUCCAGGAUCUAGAGGAGGCUAAGAGAAAUAAGGUGUUCAACCUUCAAUAAGCUCACAAUCUAAUUGGACAGGCUAGGUACUAAAGUGAAGGACAGGUGAAGAUAAACCAAACAAUCCACCUCCCAGAAUAUUCAAUACUCGGGAGAAGCAUAGAAGAAAGAAGAAAAGAGGAUGAAACCUAAGCACUCAGCUACUAGCCAAAAGGCUGCCAGUUGGGAUUCACCCAGAGGCACCUCAAAAGAAAUGCCUAUUUCCAGAAGGUCACAGCUAUUGAAAACCCAAUGGACUGCAGUUCUACUCUGAAAUACAUGAGGUCAUCAUGAGUUGGAAUCAACUUCAUGGCAACUGGUUGGUUUUUUGUGAGGAGGCCUUAGCUUUUUUUCCUGUCCAGCUCAGGGUUGAUACUGGCUCCGGGAAACAAAUUGUUUUAGUAUUACUGUGCAGUGUUAGGCGAAGCCCCAGGUACGUUUUUUUGGGUGUGAUCAAGAAGAGAAUUGCAGCAUGCAGCUUUGGUCUGCAGACUUAAACCCCCACAUGUUCACAUACCAGAACUGACAGGCAUAGGUGAAAGAUCUGACAGUAGGUGCACAUUUAGAGGGUCAGGAGAGCAUGAUAAGAGCACACUCGGGACCAGACCACUGGGUUUAAUGCCCAUCUUUGCCACCUACUC